rnacentral:rRNA from 1 species
AUACAUGCAAGUCGAGCGGACAGAAGGGAGCUUGCUCCCGGAUGUUAGCGGCGGACGGGUGAGUAACACGUGGGUAACCUGCCUGUAAGACUGGGAUAACUCCGGGAAACCGGAGCUAAUACCGGAUAGUUCNUUGAACCGCAUGGUUCAAGGAUGAAAGACGGUUUCGGCUGUCACUUACAGAUGGACCCGCGGCGCAUUAGCUAGUUGGUGAGGUAACGGCUCACCAAGGCGACGAUGCGUAGCCGACCUGAGAGGGUGAUCGGCCACACUGGGACUGAGACACGGCCCAGACUCCUACGGGAGGCAGCAGUAGGGAAUCUUCCGCAAUGGACGAAAGUCUGACGGAGCAACGCCGCGUGAGUGAUGAAGGUUUUCGGAUCGUAAAGCUCUGUUGUUAGGGAAGAACAAGUGCAAGAGUAACUGCUUGCACCUUGACGGUACCUAACCAGAAAGCCACGGCUAACUACGUGCCAGCAGCCGCGGUAAUACGUAGGUGGCAAGCGUUGUCCGGAAUUAUUGGGCGUAAAGGGCUCGCAGGCGGUUUCUUAAGUCUGAUGUGAAAGCCCCCGGCUCAACCGGGGAGGGUCAUUGGAAACUGGGAAACUUGAGUGCAGAAGAGGAGAGUGGAAUUCCACGUGUAGCGGUGAAAUGCGUAGAGAUGUGGAGGAACACCAGUGGCGAAGGCGACUCUCUGGUCUGUAACUGACGCUGAGGAGCGAAAGCGUGGGGAGCGAACAGGAUUAGAUACCCUGGUAGUCCACGCCGUAAA